AUAUGAUGAUGUGGACAUCCAAAAAGCAAGUCCUGAAAACGGUUCCAGUAGUCAUAAAGUGACUCAUCAUAGUCUUGCUUUGCAGAGUAGAUCUCUUUUCUCAAUGU